UAUUUUUAUUUCCACUUUACUUCAUUUUAUACGGUCAGCAUGCCAUUUAAGCACUCGCCGGAGCUCCGCCCUCCGACGAGGAUCUGCCCCAAAAACUUUUCAAAGAUAAGGACUCAAAUCAAUAAAUUUUCCGGGGAGGGACUUGGUUCAGACGGCGACAUAAAGACAGGGACCAAUAUGAUGCUUAACCCAAAAAAUAAGGUCUGUUCAAUUAAUCAAAAGAAUGUCUUCAAAAAAAACAUCAUGAUCACUUGCACAGACAGCAUGACAUCGUCCCCCUUUGCCUCUGCUGUCGUCGGCGUUCUUUUCCUUUCCUUUCCCAUAGCUUGCUUCAUCAUCACUUAACAUUGCAUCCUCCUACUCUCAUAGAGUCAUAGCUUGCUUCAAUUGCGAUUUCAAACCUAAAGUAUGCGUCAUUGGCACAGGUAUGACGUCCUUUUCUUGGCAUCACCGGCUAUACGAUCCUUGAAGAAAGAUAUGGGGCUUCAAAGGUCCACAAGUGCCUUGGUAUGAUGCAUCCCCGCAUAAUAUUAAGUUUUUGAAUUUAAACUUGAUGAUUGGUGAAACUUGACUUGAUGGUUUAGCUCCCUAACCUACAAUUUUGUGGUAGCAUGGUCUAUGUCUAUGUAUUGUCUUUUGAUAAGUCACUUCUGGAUUUCUGGGUUUCCUGUAGUCUGUUGAAAAGUAUUCUGAAACCAGUUAAACACCCUUAUCCUUUCAACGAUCAUAUUGUUAAAUAUGUUCGCUAUCUAGGACCAGGGGUUUCGGUAGCGCAAGCAUGGCAAGAGGGAAAUAACUUAGAGCAAGUACCACGAAAACUAUGUAGCGAGAUUUUAAUGGUGAAGGAUUACACAUCAUAACAAGAAGACCAGUGAAGAAAGUUACCAGUCCUCCCACAGAUAAAGUUGAGAGACUUUUUUUGUUAGCACUUUGCACAUUCACAGUGUCUCCUAAGUGAUGAUUGGCAGACAGCUGAUUCAUUGGUUGUGUAGUCAUAUUGGAGCUAUUGGAUGAGGAGAGUUUGAGGAAAGAUACAACUCUUCAUUCUCUUGAAUGGUCCUCAGAUCAUGAUGCCUUAGCAGAGUUUUGUUGUUGUAAUAAUAGAUUUUGGCCUUGACUCAUAGGGUACCAGCAUCUCCCCCAUUUCCUUUUUCCAAUCAUUCUCUAUAUAUUUUCUUAUUCUUAUUUAUGCCUUAUUGGCAUUAGUCUAUUGAAAGUUUGGCUUCUCCAAUAUGCCAACUGAAUAUGUUCUUUCAUAGAUAUUUCUCACAACUGGAACUUGAUUGACUCUAUGUUCCUUCAUAAUCAUUUGGGCAUAACGAAGUUUCAUAUCUGGAGUAGUUGUCCCUGUACACUGCAUAUU